rnacentral:rRNA from 1 species
CGGACGGGUGAGUAAUACAUAGGAAUCUACCCAAUAGUGGGGGAUAACUUGGAGAAAUCCAUGCUAAUACCGCAUAUGUCCUACGGGGCAAAGCAGGGGACCCUCGGGCCUUGCGCUAGUGGAUGAGCCUAUGUCGGAUUAGCUAGUUGGUAGGGUAAAGGCCUACCAAGGCAACGAUCCGUAGCUGGUCUGGGAGGAUGAUCAGCCACACUGGGACUGAGACACGGCCCAG